rnacentral:tRNA from 2 species
AUUAGCUCAGCGGUAGAGUAGUCGGCUGUUAACCGAUUGGUCGUAGGUUCGAAUCCUACAU